AUAGCCCACCAAAGUCACCAAGACAAUUAGUGUUGGAUCACACAUAUUCAGUGUCCCUUUUUAGCCAUCACGAUGUUUUUUGGUAAGCAUUCUAUGCAACCAGAUGUUGUAGCUAAUAUGAAUUGCUCACAUCUCAGUACUGAAUGUAUAAUGCAAAUGUAGAUUAGAGGAGACAUCCAAUAUACUUCAGUGCCCCUUUUUAGCCAUCAGAUAUUGUUUUUGGUAAGCACUGUAUGCAACCAGAUGUUGUAGCUAAUAUGAAAUGUUCACAUCUUAGUAUUGACUGGAUGCAAAUUUACAGAUCAGAGAAGACAUUCUUAUAUGUUUGAUCUGAGAAACUGGUGGAGCUUAUGAAGCAUAUUAUCAUUGUUACUUGAACAAGAGUCUAUACCACUAGAUGUAGGAGUAGUGCUAUUGGUCUUGCUCAUACAAUCCAGAAGGACCCAGUUACAAAUAAUUUUAUCUAUCAGAA
rnacentral:lncRNA from 1 species